AUAAAGUGCAUUGUCUGUAGGCAGGUAUUUCGGGUAAUAAAAGGUGGUGAAUUCGGAAAGAAAGUCAAAAUUGGUGGUUUGAAAACGUUGUGACUUCUUUUUAAAAUGUGUUCGUUCCGAAAACUCGAAGCGUAUAGGGAAAAGUUGGAAGAACCUUUGCUCAGGUACAUGCUAAUGAACUAACAACAGCACCGAAAGAUGGGGAAGGCGAAACACAAACGCUUGUUUGCCGCGAAUAAUAGGCAUUAAUAUAUGCGUAUUUUGGAAUUGUGACUUGAAACAACACGUUUGUACACGGUGGGCGAAACUUGUCGUUUAAUGGAGCCGUAUAAUCAAGCCGACUUCAGCGGCUGACGCAAUGCGUUCUUCGGACACGGGUUUUCGUAUCCGAAAAAACCAGAUCAGUGGGACUGUGGGAAAAACCGAAUGAACCAAUCGUCGGAUUUGAGAGAUGGUAGAAGCUGCCUUGGAACAUUUACGCGCGCGAAUACAGUUUGAUUUCGGUUAAAAUAUGCAUGAGUAAAAAUUGCAUGGGUUUGGCUUUUGGCUCAGAUAUGCUGAACACACUUCUGUUUACCUCCUUUAUUUUGAAAUUUCGGGUUUUGCAUGGGUUAAUAACCUGGUCGUGUCCAGUGCAUGCGGGGGAAAUGCAAGUGAUUCUGGGGCCCCGUCACUUGUAUUUUCUCCAUCCAGAACGACAAUGGUCCAGAAAAAAAUAUCGCUCACAGAGCGCCUAAAACAUAAAAAUGCAUGAGAAAUUGUAUCUUUAGAAGGAGAUAAUAGUCGAGUGUUUUAGUUUUCUCGGGACCAUGAAGAAAACGAUGAAUAUUUCCGACAAAACGUGCAUGACAUUUUGUAUUCGCGUGCGCAAUGCGAAGGCCUUGGAGGAGUGGCGUAGGAGAUGUUGAAGGAACCAGAUGAUGAUGGAUCAUCGCAGAAUCCGCAGUUGAAGGAUCAUCGCAGGAUCGGAUGUGGUGAGUGAUCGUCGCAGGAUCAGGUGUUGCAGGAUCACCGCAGGAUCAGAUGAUGAAGGAUCGUCGCAGGAUCAGAUGUCGUCAGUGAUAGUCGCAGGAUCAGAUGUCGUGAGUGUCGUCGCAGGAUCAGAUGUCGUGAGUGAUCGUCGCAGCAUCAGGUGUUGGAGGAUCGUCGCAGGAUCAGAUGCUGGACGACGACAUGGGUGUACAAGGUGGAAGCUGGUUGAGGUACAUACUUUGGGUAUACUAAUUAGAGUAAUGCAUGGCUAAUGUAAUUGCAUGCAUGGUAUAUUCUCGAUUCCUUCUGGUGGUCUAACCUAGUAUAUUCACACAUCAAGUGACAUUUCACCCUUUAGUCGACAAUGCAUGAUAACAGAAAAUUUCACAGCUUUUAUCAGGUCGUUUUCGAGGUUUCUUGAUGAAACAUUCCUAUAGUUGUCACUUGUGUGUGAAUUUUACCGACGUAUACGGUGGUCUUAUGCAAAAACUUUUUUCUUUUAUUUCGAAAAAUAUGAAAAUCGUUUGCAAUAGUUAUCUUGCCCG